CCUACGGGGUGCAGCAGUGGGGAAUAUUGGACAAUGGGCGAAAGCCUGAUCCAGCCAUGCCGCGUGUGUGAAGAAGGCCUUCGGGUUGUAAAGCACUUUCAGUGGGGAAGAAAGCCUUGGGGCUAAUACCCUCGAGGAAGGACAUCACCCACAGAAGAAGCACCGGCUAACUCCGUGCCAGCAGCCGCGGUAAUACGGAGGGUGCGAGCGUUAAUCGGAAUUACUGGGCGUAAAGCGCGCGUAGGCGGUCUGAUAAGCCGGUUGUGAAAGCCCCGGGCUCAACCUGGGAACGGCAUCCGGAACUGUCAGGAUAGAGUGCAGGAGAGGAAGGUAGAAUUCCCGGUGUAGCGGUGACAUGCGUAGAGAUCGGGAGGAAUACCAGUGGCGAAGGCGGCCUUCUGGACUGACACUGACGCUGAGGUGCGAAAGCGUGGGUAGCAAACAGGAUUAGAUACCCGUGUAGUC
rnacentral:rRNA from 1 species